AUGUUUUCGUCGCAGUCCCGAUCACGGAUCAACAACAUCCGGAUCGCCCUCUCCAACAUGCAGAAGGGAACCCAGACGGUGGCGGCCUACUUCGCCCACAUGCGCUCGCUCGCAGAUGAGCUCGCUGCAGCUGGAAAGCCCCUGGAUGAUGAUGAGCUGAUCUCCUACAUCACCGGCGGCCUCGACAUGGACUACCAGCCGCUCGUGUCUGCUCUCGACGCGCGCCCUGCUUCUGAACCGGUAACCCUUGAUGAUCUCUUUGCCCAGAUGAGUAAUUUCGAUCAGAGGGUUGCCCUCUUCCACAACACCAACUCAGGCGGGGGAUUCAAGUCCUCUGCAAACACUGUUGUUCGUGGCCGCGGUGGUGGAUCCUCUCGCUAUCGGGGACCAGCGCGCGCCAAGGGCAGGCAGCAAGGUGGAAACAGCGGCAGCAACAACUCAUCUCGCAACGACGGCGGCCGCCCCUUCAACACCAACACCAGGGGCCGCCGCAACUCCACCUCCAAACCACGGCCUGACGCUGUGCGCUGCCAAAUUUGUGGCAAGCUGGGGCACACGGCGCGGGACUGUUGGUAUCGCUUUGAUGAAGAUGGUGAGUCCUCUCAAGAUGAGAAAGUUGUUGCCGCAGCAGAUGGUUCCUACGGCAUCCACACAAACUGA
rnacentral:rRNA from 1 species